rnacentral:rRNA from 1 species
UACGUAGGGUGCAAGCGUUGUCCGGAAUUAUUGGGCGUAAAGAGCUCGUAGGCGGCUCGUCACGUCGGCUGUGAAAACCCGGGGCUCAACCCGGGCCUGCAGUCGAUACGGGCGAGCUAGAGUUCGGUAGGGGAGACUGGAAUUCCUGGUGUAGCGGUGAAAUGCGCAGAUAUCAGGAGGAACACCGAUGGCGAAGGCGGCACUCUGGGCCGGUGACUGACGCUGAGGAGCGAAAGCGUGGGGAGCGAACAGG